rnacentral:lncRNA from 1 species
AAAAUAUAUACUGUAAACUCUAAAGCAACCACUGAGGUAGUAUAACAGAUACAUAGCUAAUUAGUCAACAGAGGAGACAAAAUGGAAAUGUAAAAAAUAUUUCAGUUAACCCAAAAGGCAACAAAAGAGGAUAAGUAGGACAAAGAACAAAUAGGGUGAGUAGAAAGUACUUAGCUAAGUGCUCAACUAUAUUGAUUAAGCAUAACUUGUGUGAAUACCUCAGUUGAAAGGCACAUGUUGUCAGAUUGGAUGAAAGUAUCUACUCCCCACUUCCCGUCCUGUACUGGGGAUUGAAGAGCUAUAUCCCAAGCCCCUUUUAUUUUGAGACAGUGUCUCACUAAAUUGCUCAGGCUGGUCUGGAACUUGCAAUCCUUCUGCCUCAGUAGCUAGGAUUACUUACAGGUGUGUGCCAUUGUGUUUGACAAAAAGUCUACUUUUUAAAGACACAGCCAGGAUAAAAGUAAAAGGAUGGGCUAGGAGUGUGUCUGUAAUCCCAGCAAUUUAGGAGGUUGAGGCUGAAGGAUAGAAAGUUCAAAGCCAGGCCUCACCGAUGUACCCUAAGCAACUUAGCAAGUCUCUCUCUCUCUCUCUCUCUCUCUCUCUCUCUCUC